CUUGGUCAUUUAGAGGAAGUAAAAGUCGUAACAAGGUUUCCGUAGGUGAACCUGCGGAAGGAUCAUUAAAAAGGAUACCGGGAAACCGGUAGACCCCACCCGUGUCUAUCUACUCUUGUUGCUUUGGCAGGCCGUGGCCUCCACCGUGGGCUCUGCCUACGCGUGCCUGCCAGAGGACCAAACUCUGAAUUUUAGUGACGUCUGAGUACUAUAUAAUAGUUAAAACUUUCAACAACGGAUCUCUUGGUUCUGGCAUCGAUGAAGAACGCAGCGAAAUGCGAUAAGUAAUGUGAAUUGCAGAAUUCAGUGAAUCAUCGAAUCUUUGAACGCACAUUGCGCCCGGUGGUAUUCCGCCGGGCAUGCCUGUUCGAGCGUCAUUAUAACCACUCAAGCCUGGCUUGGUAUUGGGGUACGCGGCUUCGCGGCUCCUAAAUUCAGUGGCGGUGCCAGUGGGCUCUAAGCGUAGUAAAUCUCCUCGCUAUAGAGUCCCUCUAGUUACUUGCCAAAACCCCCCAUUUUUACGGUUGACCUCGGAUCAGGUAGGGAUACCCGCUGAACUUAAGCAUAUCAAUAA
rnacentral:rRNA from 1 species